CCGUCUCUAGGGCUUGCUCGAGCCGGGCGAUGACCGCCGGUCCCUCGCCGGAUUGGUCCAUGAGGACGGCGUUCUCGAAGAGGGCUUCAAAUGAGAGGGGGUCGGCGGCGAGGAUUUGUUCGAAGAGGUUGCGGGAUUCGGCGGGGUUGCCCAUUUCGACGAGGAGGCGGGCGGCGAGGAACUUCCACUCGGGGUUGGAGGGCUGGGCGUCGAUGAGGCGGCGGAGGAGGGAGAGGGCGG
rnacentral:misc_RNA from 1 species